AUGAAGCGCGCGCACGACACUGGUAUUCUGCUGCAGCUCCACCCCCGACGGUCUGUCCGAGCGAUAUCGCUAUAUGCUGACGACAUCAUGCUCUUCUGCCAUGCCGCGGAGAGCGAUGUGACCGCAGUCAGAGAGAUUUUGGCAUUGUUCGGGAGGGCCUUGGGUCUCCACGUGAACUACGCCAAGAGCUCGGCCACGGCCCUUCACGGCGACCCGGCGGACGUCGAGAUGAUCACUGGCCUGGGCUGCUCGAUUGUGGAUCUUCCAGUCACCUAUCUUGGCAUUCCCCUGACAUUGCGCCGCCCCUCUGCCACACAACUACAGCCGCUGGUUGACAAGGUUGUUGGUUGCCUGCCGACUUGGAAGGCAGAGCUUAUGAACAAGGCUGGACGGCUUGCCCUCGUCAAAUCAGUCCUCGGUGCAAUCCCCGUGCAUCAGCUACUCGCCUUCGCC
rnacentral:rRNA from 1 species